UCAGGAAGGAGUAGAGUAGGAGGAGGAGGCACACUGGUCUUUGGUUAACUUGAUAACCAGCUAGAUUCUGAAUUCAAUGGUAGCAACCUGAGGCAGUAGCAUGGAGGUUUUUGAGGCUGUCCUAUAUUUUCCUUGUUGGUUUCCUUUUGGUUACAGGGAGACAACUGUUCCUUCCGCCACUGCGAAGCUGCUCUGGGGAACGAGACGGUGUGCACGCUGUGGCAGGAGGGUCGUUGUUUCAGGAAUGUCUGCCGAUUCAGACACAUGGAAAUUGAUAAAAAGAGCGCUGAU